rnacentral:rRNA from 1 species
UGGGGAAUAUUGCACAAUGGGCGCAAGCCUGAUGCAGCCAUGCCGCGUGUGUGAAGAAGGCCUUCGGGUUGUAAAGCACUUUCGUCCGGAAAGAAAUGGCUCUGGUUAAUACCUGGGGGUCGAUGACGGUACCGGAAGAAUAAGGACCGGCUAACUACGUGCCAGCAGCCGCGGUAAUACGUAGGGUCCAAGCGUUAAUCGGAAUUACUGGGCGUAAAGCGUGCGCAGGCGGUUGUGCAAGACCGAUGUGAAAUCCCCGAGCUUAACUUGGGAAUUGCAUUGGUGACUGCACGGCUAGAGUGUGUCAGAGGGGGGUAGAAUUCCACGUGUAGCAGUGAAAUGCGUAGAGAUGUGGAGGAAUACCGAUGGCGAAGGCAGCCCCCUGGGAUAACACUGACGCUCAUGCACGAAAGCGUGGGGAGCAAACAGGAUUAGAUACCCUGGUAGUCCACGCCCUAAACGAUGUCAACUAGUUGUUGGGGAUUCAUUUCCUUAGUAACGUAGCUAACGCGUGAAGUUGACCGCCCUGGGGGAGUACGGUCGCAAGAUUAAAA